UUAUUUUGUCAAUUUAAGGAGUCGUAACUGCCGCAAUCGUCAAAAUUAAAAUUCCCUAAAAUAACAUACUAACUUCUUCUAUAUGUCAUUUGCCUCGGUUUUUUAGUUAUUUCCCUCAAUUUUUUCCCCAAAUAUCUUCCUCAUUCUUUCCCUUCUCUAACAAAGCAGCACUGCCGGUCCGACGUUGUGGUUUCAAUUUCACGGUAAGAUCCGGCGGUGUUGAAAAAUGUGGCGCUAUUAUUGGUGGCGGAACUCAUUGUAAAAGACUUGUUUUCAUGUCAAAAAACUUCAAUAGUUUGCUUAAUUGUUGAAGUGGAGAUGGAGAAGAGGCCGGAAUUGGAUGAUUUUGAUUUCUCUGAGUUACAAUUUUCUGGUUUAAGGUAGGAUUAUAUUUCUCACAGGUUAUAGUCUCUCUCGUUUUUUGAUUUGCUUUUCAAAUUGUAAAUAAACAUUCAUCUUGCAUGUUGAUUCAAAAAUUGUGUUACGUAGCUAGAUUUGUAUUUUUACCUUACCGGUACUACUGAAAUUAAGAUUCGUUCAUCCUUCCACCACCGCAGCUUUUCUUUCCUCCUUCAGGGAAACAUUUGAGCCCUUCGUUUAUCAAAGAUUUGAAGUUUAUCUUUUAAGUGUACUUUGUGUUGGCCAUUAAUAUGUAUUACUGUCAAUUACCGUUGAUGACAUUAUUUUUCAAAUAAUAUAUCUAUCUAUGGUUAUAAAUGUUGUGUUUGCAAUUGAUAGGUUUCAUUGUGAAGUAUAACAUGUAUGGAAAAAAAUAAAGAAUAAAGCCCUAAAGUUUUAUAAUCAUAGGGUUCUUAUUGUCUUGCUUCCAAAUGAUUAUUAAGUUAAUGUAUCAUUUAUAAUUGUUUUGAUUUAGUAAUUUAGAGAUUUUGUUUGCUUCCAAGUGAUUAUUUUGAUAAUGUAUUAUCUCAACUCUUGUCAAAACUAUACCGGUCAAGAAAAGUGGUGAGACAUUUGAUUGUUAAAAAUGUACGACCUCCUUGUAUUUUUGCGUGUGCAAAGAAAAAUCCGAGUAGAAAACAUCAACGGAUCUCGCUGGGAAUAGACGUUGAUAAAAGCAACCUGAGACCCCAGAAGCAGAAUACGAUCGGUGGCUAUUGGAAUCAAAGAAUUUCUCCAUGCCAUUAUUAGCCAAAAGUGGCAACAGCUAAAACAGUGUGUUGUUGACAGGUUGAUUCGUAUUGCUUCCUCAUGUGUUCGACAAUAACGUCGAUUAUGUAAAUGUUGCUGUCAUUUGUGUAUUAAAUAGCAUAUAAAGGUGAGCACAUUGUUCAAUUUUCUUUUCCUUUUUAUGUUCAUGUAAAUUCUUACGCCUCCUACCUAUUCAAAAGUGUUUAACUAGUGCUCUACUUUCUUGCAGAAAGGUAGGUUACAAGAAACGCUGCAUUUAGGACUAUUUUUUGGUUUGUGUAAGUCACUAAAGUAUGCAAAACAUGUCAUGUUAUGAGAACAUUAACUGUUUAGUUGUUAUCAUGUUAAUUACAUCUCGUUUCAAUCCCAAACAAGAUAUAAUAGGCUAUGUGAAUCCUCAUUUCUUCAUUUAAGUUCAUAUUAACAAAGUUUUAUUACUCCCAAUUUUUACAUUCUCUGUAGUUGUUCUAUGCGGAGAAGUGAUAGAUAAGUACAUAAUCAAGUAAGUGACAUGCUUUAACCAAUAAUUACAAUGCAGGGAUAAAUUUUAUGUGUUACCAGAGGAGUUUUAUUUUGUGGUUUGGUGAAGUUCAUAGAUUCUACAACCUGCUAGAUUUCUGAGCUAAUAUGAAAUUUGUAUUGGAGGCCAAGAUUAAUAUAGUUAGCCUCCAUUCUGCUGCUAAAAUUUUGAAUUCCUCUGUGACUGUGACAUUUUAGUAUCAGCAGCCUUUCAGAAGCUACUUUCAAAUACUUUCAAGUUGUUUUCUUUCGCUUGUUGUUAUUGUUUUCUUUUCUUUUUUCGUCUCGUGCAGAUAAUGCAGGCUAUAUUACGUAAAGAUGCCAAUCCAGAGCUUGCCUGUGCUAUUGAUACAUGGAGUCUAGGUUGUACUGUAAUUGAAAUGUUUACUGGACAGUCCUCUUGGAGUGGAUUAGACGGGGUGAAAGCAAAUCACCACCUGUACUAGAAACGUCAUCUCCGGAAGGAAAGAAUUUUCUUCGGUGCUACUUUCAGAGGAAACCUGCAGAUAGGCCUACAUUUUUUAUGCUACUUGAGCAUCCUUUCUUAAGUAAUACUAAUUCGCGUAAACAUAGUGCUACUGUUUUAGGUUCCUCAGAAGAUUUUUUACGGAUGAAAUGAGAACUGUGGUUUUUAACAUAUCGAACAAGAAUGUACUUUUAAGUAUUUUUUAAAGUGUAGCCUUCCCUACUCAACUGACUCUAUGGUGCAGGUAAACAUUGCAAUGUCCAUAGAGUUAUAGUGGAGUGACAGUCGGAGCAUGUGGUCUUAUUAGUUUAGAGUCAACAGAGCUUACUUAGGGAUCCCUAAGUUCCUACUGAUUUCUGUGGAUGAUAUAGGGGAAGAGGAAGGUUGACUGCUUUGAGAUCCCAGUCGAUUUGAUUGGAGAACCUCUUGAAAAGUUAUUACGUGCAACAUAGAGAUUCACUAAACCAUUGAUUGGUAUUAGAUAAUUAGUUUUGAUAAUGUAGUUGCAUGAUUGGAUUGGGUCAUAAUGAUUAGAGUGAAUGAUGUGUUUAGCGAUUGACCGGAGUAGUAAGGAAAAAAUCAAUGUACUCAUGGUGGAGUUAAGUACAUUUGUAUGGCAUAACUAAGCUUUUCCAACCAAAUGAUAUGCAAACAUUUUUUCUUACACUGUAAAGGUUCUCCAUUUAUCUUU